rnacentral:ribozyme from 1 species
AUUGUUGAUUUUUUUUAUUUUGUUUUUUAAACUUUACUGAUCCGGCCCAUGAACCAAAAAGAAGAAGAAGAAGG